AAAAAAGGUAAGCUACUAAGAGCGAAUGGUGGAUGCCUUGACUGGUAAAGGCGAUGAAGGACGUACUAGACUGCGAUAAGCUACGGGGAGCUGUCAAGAAGCUUUGAUCCGUAGAUUUCCGAAUGGGGCAACCCAAUGUAUAGAGAUAUACAUUACCUAUAUAGGAGCGAACGAGGGGAAUUGAAACAUCUUAGUACCCUCAGGAAAAGAAAUCAAUAGAGAUUGCGUCAGUAGCGGCGAGCGAAAGCGCAAGAGGGCAAACCCAGUGCUUGCACUGGGGGUUGUAGGACUGCAAUGUGCAAGAGGUGAGUUUAGCAGAACAUUCUGGAAAGUAUAGCCAUAGAGGGUGAUAGUCCCGUAUGCGAAAAACAAACCUUAGCUAGCAGUAUCCUGAGUAGGGCGGGACACGAGGAAUCCUGUCUGAAGCUGGGUCGACCACGAUCCAACCCUAAAUACUAAUACCAGAUCGAUAGUGCACAAGUACCGUGAGGGAAAGGUGAAAAGAACUGAGGUGAUCAGAGUGAAAUAGAACCUGAAACCAUUUGCUUACAAUCAUUCAGAGCCCUAUGUAGCAAUACAGGGUGAUGGACUGCCUUUUGCAUAAUGAGCCUGCGAGUUGUGGUGUCUGGCAAGGUUAAGCAAACGCGAAGCCGUAGCGAAAGCGAGUCUGAAUAGGGCGCUUAGUCAGAUGCUGCAGACCCGAAACGAAGUGAUCUAUCCAUGAGCAAGUUGAAGCUAGUGUAAGAACUAGUGGAGGACUGAACCCAUAGGCGUUGAAAAGCCCCGGGAUGACUUGUGGAUAGGGGUGAAAGGCCAAUCAAACUUCGUGAUAGCUGGUUCUCUCCGAAAUAUAUUUAGGUAUAGCGUUGUGUCGUAAUAUAAGGGGGUAGAGCACUGAAUGGGCUAGGGCAUACACCAAUGUACCAAACCCUAUCAAACUCCGAAUACCUUAUAUGUAAUCACAGCAGUCAGGCGGCGAGUGAUAAAAUCCGUCGUCAAGAGGGAAACAACCCAGACUACCAGCUAAGGUCCCUAAAUCUUACUUAAGUGGAAAACGAUGUGAAGUUACUUAAACAACCAGGAGGUUGGCUUAGAAGCAGCCAUCCUUUAAAGAAAGCGUAAUAGCUCACUGGUCUAGUGAUUUUGCGCGGAAAAUAUAACGGGGCUAAAGUAAGUACCGAAGCUGUAGACUUGCGCACAACUUAGAUUAUUUAAGUUUAGAAUAUGAGAAACUAAGUUAUAUGUUUAGUUAUAUUUUUACUGAUUUUUAUAGAGUAAAGAUAGAAAUAAAACUUAGUAAAAUCAGUAAAAAUAUUCUUAGACUAAAGUUAAGUAGUUUAAGUUGUGUGCAAGUGGUAGGAGAGCGUUCUAUUUGCGUCGAAGGUAUACCGGUAAGGAGUGCUGGAGCGAAUAGAAGUGAGCAUGCAGGCAUGAGUAGCGAUAAUUAAUGUGAGAAUCAUUAACGCCGUAAACCCAAGGUUUCCUACGCGAUGCUCGUCAUCGUAGGGUUAGUCGGGUCCUAAGCCGAGUCCGAAAGGGGUAGGCGAUGGCAAAUUGGUUAAUAUUCCAAUACCAACAUUAGUGUGCGAUGGAAGGACGCUUAGGGCUAAGGGGGCUAGCGGAUGGAAGUGCUAGUCUAAGGUCGUAGGAGGUUAUACAGGCAAAUCCGUAUAACAAUACUCCGAGAACUGAAAGGCUUUUUGAAGUCUUCGGAUGGAUAGAAGAACCCCUGAUGCCGUCGAGCCAAGAAAAGUUUCUAAGUUUAGCUAAUGUUGCCCGUACCGUAAACCGACACAGGUGGGUGGGAUGAGUAUUCUAAGGCGCGUGGAAGAACUCUCUUUAAGGAACUCUGCAAAAUAGCACCGUAUCUUCGGUAUAAGGUGUGGUUCGCUUCGUACUAGGAUUUACUCCGAAAGCGAAGAAACUUACAACAAAGAGUCCCUCCCGACUGUUUACCAAAAACACAGCACUCUGCUAACUCGUAAGAGGAUGUAUAGGGUGUGACGCCUGCCCGGUGCUCGAAGGU
rnacentral:rRNA from 1 species